rnacentral:rRNA from 1 species
AACGAACGCUGGCGGCAUGCCUAACACAUGCAAGUCGAACGAGACCUUCGGGUCUAGCGGCGCACGGGUGCGUAACGCGUGGGAACCUGCCCUUAGGUUCGGAAUAACUCCCCGAAAGGGGUGCUAAUACCGGAUAAUGUUAUCGGACCAAAGAUUUAUCGCUUGUGGAUGGGUCCGCGUAGGAUUAGCUAGUUGGUAGGGUAAAAGCCUACCAAGGCGACGAUCCAUAGCUGGUCUGAGAGGAUGAUCAGCCACACUGGGACUGAGACACGGCCCAGACUCCUACGGGAGGCAGCAGUGGGGAAUAUUGGACAAUGGGCGAAAGCCUGAUCCAGCAAUGCCGCGUGAGUGAUGAAGGCCUUAGGGUUGUAAAGCUCUUUUACCCGAGAUGAUAAUGACGGUACCGGGAGAAUAAGCGCCGGCUAACUCCGUG